rnacentral:rRNA from 1 species
UACGAAGGGGGCUAGCGUUGCUCGGAAUUACUGGGCGUAAAGCGCACGUAGGCGGCUUCUUAAGUCGGUGGUGAAAUCCUGGAGCUCAACCCCAGAACUGCCUUCGAUACUGAGAAGCUCGAGUCCGGGAGAGGUGAGUGGAACUGCGAGUGUAGAGGUGAAAUUCGUAGAUAUUCGCAAGAACACCAGUGGCGAAGGCGGCUCACUGGCCCGGUACUGACGCUGAGGUGCGAAAGCGUGGGGAGCAAACAGG